UGCAAGUCGAGCGGAAAGGCCCUUCGGGGUACUCGAGCGGCGAACGGGUGAGUAACACGUGAGCAACCUGCCCCAGGCUUUGGGAUAACCCCGGGAAACCGGGGCUAAUACCGAAUAUGACCUCCGAUCGCAUGGUUGGUGGUGGAAAGUUUUUCGGCUUGGGAUGGGCUCGCGGCCUAUCAGCUUGUUGGUGGGGUGAUGGCCUACCAAGGCGACGACGGGUAGCCGGCCUGAGAGGGCGACCGGCCACACUGGGACUGAGACACGGCCCAGACUCCUACGGGAGGCAGCAGUGGGGAAUAUUGCACAAUGGGCGGAAGCCUGAUGCAGCGACGCCGCGUGAGGGAUGACGGCCUUCGGGUUGUAAACCUCUUUCAGCAGGGACGAAGCGUAAGUGACGGUACCUGCAGAAGAAGCGCCGGCCAACUACGUGCCAGCAGCCGCGGUAAGACGUAGGGCGCGAGCGUUGUCCGGAUUUAUUGGGCGUAAAGAGCUCGUAGGCGGCUUGUCGCGUCGACUGUGAAAACCCGCAGCUCAACUGCGGGCCUGCAGUCGAUACGGGCAGGCUAGAGUUCGGUAGGGGAGACUGGAAUUCCUGGUGUAGCGGUGAAAUGCGCAGAUAUCAGGAGGAACACCGGUGGCGAAGGCGGGUCUCUGGGCCGAUACUGACGCUGAGGAGCGAAAGCGUGGGGAGCGAACAGGAUUAGA
rnacentral:rRNA from 1 species